rnacentral:rRNA from 1 species
GGCUCAGGACGAACGCUGGCGGCGUGCUUAACACAUGCAAGUUGAACGAGAAAAUUUUGAUAGAAUCUUCGGAGGAAAGAGAAAUUGGAAAGUAGCGAACGGGUGAGUAACACGUGAGAAACCUGCCUAUUACAAAGGGAUAGCCUCGGGAAACCGUGAUUAAUACCUUAUGAUACAUUGUAGUCGCAUGACAAUAAUGUUAAAGUUUUUUCGGUAAUAGAUGGUCUCGCGUCUGAUUAGCUAGAUGGUGGGGUAAAGGCCUUCCAUGGCGACGAUCAGUAGCCGGAUUGAGAGGUUGAACGGCCACACUGGAACUGAGACACGGUCCAGACUCCUACGGGAGGCAGCAGUGGGGAAUUUUGCACAAUGGGGGGAACCCUGAUGCAGCGACGUCGCGUGAAUGAAGAAGGUCUUCGGACUGUAAAAUUCU